AGAGUUUGAUCAUGGCUCAGAUUGAACGCUGGCGGCAGGCCUAACACAUGCAAGUCGAACGGUAACAUUUCUAGCUUGCUAGAAGAUGACGAGUGGCGGACGGGUGAGUAAUGCUUGGGAACUUGCCUUUGCGAGGGGGAUAACAGUUGGAAACGACUGCUAAUACCGCAUAAUGUCUUCGGACCAAACGGGGCUUCGGCUCCGGCGCAAAGAGAGGCCCAAGUGAGAUUAGCUAGUUGGUAAGGUAACGGCUUACCAAGGCGACGAUCUCUAGCUGUUCUGAGAGGAAGAUCAGCCACACUGGGACUGAGACACGGCCCAGACUCCUACGGGAGGCAGCAGUGGGGAAUAUUGCACAAUGGGGGAAACCCUGAUGCAGCCAUGCCGCGUGUGUGAAGAAGGCCUUCGGGUUGUAAAGCACUUUCAGUCGUGAGGAAAAGUUAGUAGUUAAUACCUGCUAGCCGUGACGUUAACAACAGAAGAAGCACCGGCUAACUCCGUGCCAGCAGCCGCGGUAAUACGGAGGGUGCGAGCGUUAAUCGGAAUUACUGGGCGUAAAGCGCACGCAGGCGGUUUGUUAAGCUAGGUGUGAAAGCCCCGGGCUCAACCUGGGAUGGUCAUUUAGAACUGGCAGACUAGAGUCUUGGAGAGGGGAGUGGAAUUCCAGGUGUAGCGGUGAAAUGCGUAGAUAUCUGGAGGAACAUCAGUGGCGAAGGCGACUCCCUGGCCAAAGACUGACGCUCAUGUGCGAAAGUGUGGGU
rnacentral:rRNA from 1 species